GGCGGCAUUCAAUAUCCUCAGAGGAACCUGUUUUUUAAUCGACAACCCCCGCUAUAUUUAACUUAAAUAUAAAUUUUAUAUACCGCUGUCUAAAGAGUUCUAUUAAUAUUCCCCUCUCUACUAAAAUAAGUCAAGUAAAGGUGUAAACAAACUUUAAGUAAAAAUGGGUUACUUUAAAAAAUAAUUAAAGAUCACAUUUUAACACUUGUGUGAAUAAGGAUCUAUAAGUAAAAGUCUAAUAAUAAUAAUCUACUUUAAAACAAAUAUUAAUGUGC
rnacentral:rRNA from 1 species